GACAUCCAGAGAACUUAGCAGAGAUGCUUUGGUGCCUUCGGGAACUCUGAGACAGGUGCUGCAUGGCUGUCGUCAGCUCGUGUUGUGAAAUGUUGGGUUAAGUCCCGNAACGAGCGCGACCCUUAUCCUUUGUUGCCAGCGGUUCGGCCGGGAACUCAAAGGAGACUGCCGGUGAUAAACCGGAGGAAGGUGGGGAUGACGUCAAGUCAUCAUGGCCCUUACGGCCAGGGCUACACACGUGCUACAAUGGCGCAUACAAAGAGAAGCGACCUCGCGAGAGCAAGCGGACCUCAUAAAGUGCGUCGUAGUCCGGAUUGGAGUCUGCAACUCGACUCCAUGAAGUCGGAAUCGCUAGUAAUCGUAGAUCAGAAUGCUACGGUGAAUACGUUCCCGGGCCUUGUACACACCGCCCGUCACACCAUGGGAGUGGGUUGCAAAAGAAGUAGGUAGCUUAACCUUCGGGAGGGCGCUUACCACUUUGUGAUUCAUGACUGGGGUGAAGUCGUAACAAGGUAGGCGUAGCGAG
rnacentral:rRNA from 1 species